AGUGAACGCUGGCGGUAGGCCUAACACAUGCAAGUCGAACGGCAGCACAGUAAGAGCUUGCUCUUACGGGUGGCGAGUGGCGGACGGGUGAGGAAUACAUCGGAAUCUACUUUUUCGUGGGGGAUAACGUAGGGAAACUUACGCUAAUACCGCAUACGACCUACGGGUGAAAGCAGGGGAUCUUCGGACCUUGCGCGAUUGAAUGAGCCGAUGUCGGAUUAGCUAGUUGGCGGGGUAAAGGCCCACCAAGGCGACGAUACGUAGCUGGUCUGAGAGGAUGAUCAGCCACACUGGAACUGGGACACGGUCCAGACUCCUACGGGAGGCAGCAGUGGGGAUUCUUGGCCAAUGGGCGCAAGCCUGAUCCAGCCAUACCGCGUGGGUGAAGAAGGCCUUCGGGUUGUAAAGCCCUUUUGUUGGGAAAGAAAAGCAGCAGGUUAAUACCCCGCUGUUCUGACGGUACCCAAAGAAUAAGCACCGGCUAACUUCGUG
rnacentral:rRNA from 1 species